AUUGUUGACCCUGCAUCAGCUCUCUUAAAUUGACCUAGCAGGGAUGGGAAUCUCACUAAAAAAGAAAAACAAAACAAUGCAAGUCAUAACUGCACCCCUGCUCCAAGGUUACUCUGGGUUCACUUUCCCAUCCACUGGCUUCCUCAUCCUUGCUCUUCUGCUCCCUGACCUGCCAGCAGGUUUGUGACGGGUGUCUUGGCCCCAACUUAUCCUCUAACCUACUGAUUUUGGAACUUUAGUUUUUGGACUGUCUCUUCCUCUUAGAUUUCUGCCUCUUAAAGUGACCAAUUCUAGAACCUCUUUAUUGGUUCCCUGUCCCCACCGCCUCCUGCCUCCUCUCUUCCCCAUGAUGGACACGUCUUCCCCCUGGACCAGCCUCUCCCUGAGUCCUCACCCAUUAGAAAAGAAGGUCAGGAAAUGUGAUAUACCCAUAUAAUGGAACAUUGUCCGGGCACUAAAAUUCAUUUUCAUAAAUAAUUUUAAUGGCACGGGGAAAUGUUCAUAAGUCACUGUGCUUGAGUCAAUGCAAAGACCCAGCCUAAAGGGAACCAAGGAUUGAAAGGGAAGUGACCUGGGCCUCAUCUAGCUCUCUUCACUGUUAAGCAACGUGUGACAGCAAAGCAUAGUAAAGUCAGUUUUCUUUGUUCAUAGGAAUAUGGCCAAAGUUGUGCAAAGAACAUGCAGAACAGAUCUGGGAGGUGUUGAAGGAAAUUAACCGUCUAGAUGUAGAGCUUGUGUGAAUUUCAGAUGUCCCAGGAUACAAAGAGCAGAGGCUGGCAGUGAAAGACCUCGGCUCCCCCACCUGCUCCAGGGAGAGACCAGAGCGACCCCCAGAUUUUAUCACCGCCACCCCCACCCUCACAAAAGGUACAGCUUUGGACCUGAAGGGUUGGGGAAGAAUUGUUCUCCAACUAAAAGAGAGAAAACCCCAAUGCCCCACAGAGCGUGAGAAGGGCAAGAGCAUGAAGCUGACGGAAGGACGAAGACAAACGGCAACAACGCAAACCUGGGCACCACAGACUUUACAGAUGUACACCGCACAGGUCAGCCUCGGCCACACACGUUCAUCAGAUGUGGCCUCAAAAUCAGCUCCCAGCCUACUGCUCUGUGAGCACCAGCGCCCGUGCAGGGGUAGCCAAGAGCCACACUGUCACCUCUCGGAGGAGCCCUCUGCCUCGAGGACUUCUGUGAGCCAUGCCAGUGGGCUCUGGCUCAGCGUUCAUGAUUUUGUCCCUUUUGAAGUCCUCGAGAUUUUAUUCCUUCAGUUUCCGGGAGUUACGUGCCACGGCGAUUUCAGCCCAGUAGCACUUUGGCUGUGACAAAAAGAAGUGACGGGGAGGGCCUGCUGCAUGGGCCGUGUCCGACGCUGCCACCCAGCUCGACUGUUCACACUCGCCGUCAGAGAAUGCGGGGUACAGAUUCUGUCUCCAGGACCCCAGCCCUGUGGCUUUCCUGUCUAAUAAACUGAGAACUCUGACCCGUGUGCUCUUCGCACAUUCUCUACCUGGAAAGGACCCUUGUGGCUGGAGCCAAGUGGACUAACAUGUCUGCAUAGACAAAAGUGUUAUGAUUGGUGACCUAGCUCACUUCUCACCAUUAUGUGACAGACCACCGGCUGACCCACAGCUUUAUUGUUCCGUACACCUCAGCAUCUUUGUCAACACCAUCACUUCAAUGUGUUUUGAACGAGAGUUUUGUUUGUUUGCUGGCUUCCCCCCGCACACACACACACCCUCCUCUCAUGGAAGUAAGAAGCCAGAGAGGAAAUCAGCUGUUUAAACUGAUAAUUAAGUCAUCAAAAUUUCCAGUUUACCAAGAAAAAUCAAAUUUCAGGCAAUAUUAUCUGUACUAGCCCAGAAACUCAAUGUUCAAUCUUCCUGACCCCAAAGAAAUCACAAAAGUCUCCCCUUUUGCUUUUGAGUCUUCCGAUUGGGGCCCAGAUUUUUUCUGUGUCAAUGACACUCUAAAUAUAGGACCUUUGAGUGACUCAGGCCCGGCAGAGGCACGAGAACCUUCAGGCUGGAGCACCAAACCCUCCUCCUGAGCCGGUCUUUGAAAGCACCCAAAGUGCCUCAAAAUAUAAUGAGGGCAGGAACAGAAAAACGCUCUCAAAUGAAAAUUAAUUUUAAUUGACUUUAAUUAAAUGCCUUUUAGCACUU